GCUCAGUAACACGUGGAUAACCUACCCUUUAGGACUGGGAUAACCUUGGGAAACUGAGGAUAAUACUGGAUAGGCAAUUAUUCCUGCAAUGGUUUUUUGUUUAAAUGUUUUUUCGCCUAAGGAUGGGUCUGCGGCCGAUUAGGUAGUUGGUUAGGUAAUGGCUUACCAAGCCGUUGAUCGGUACGGGUUGUGAGAGCAAGAGCCCGGAGAUGGAACCUGAGACAAGGUUCCAGGCCCUACGGGGUGCAGCAGGCGCGAAACCUCCGCAAUGUGAGAAAUCGCGACGGGGGGAUCCCAAGUGCCAUUCUUAACGGGAUGGCUUUUCAUUAGUGUAAAGAGCUUUUGGAAUAAGGGCUGGGCAAGACCGGUGCCAGCCGCCGCGGUAACACCGGCAGCUCUAGUGGUAGCAGUUUUUAUUGGGCCUAAAGCGUCCGUAGCCGGUUUAAUAAGUCUCUGGUGAAAUCCUGUAGCUUAACUGUGGGAAUUGCUGGAGAUACUAUUAGACUUGAGACCGGGAGAGGUUAGAGGUACUCCCAGGGUAGAGGUGAAAUUCUGUAAUCCUGGGAGGACCGCCUGUUGCGAAGGCGUCUAACUGGAACGGUUCUGACGGUGAGGGACGAAAGUUAGGGGCGCGAACCGGAUUAGAUACCCGGGUAGUCCUAACCGUAAACGAUGCGGACUUGGUGUUGGGGUGGCUUUGAGCUGCCCCAGUGCCGAAGGGAAGCUGUUAAGUCCGCCGCCUGGGAAGUACGGUCGCAAGACUGAAACUUAAAGGAAUUGGCGGGGGAGCACAAUCUCAAAGCCCCA
rnacentral:rRNA from 1 species